UACGUAGGUGGCGAGCGUUGUCCGGAUUUACUGGGCGUAAAGAGCGCGCAGGCGGUCGUUCAAGUCGAGUGUGAAAUCCCCCGGCUCAACUGGGGAGGGUCACUCGAUACUGAUCGACUCGAAGGAGGGAGAGGGAAGCGGAAUUCCCGGUGUAGUGGUGAAAUGCGUAGAUAUCGGGAGGAACACCAGUGGCGAAGGCGGCUCUCUGGUCCGAUACUGACGCUGAGGUGCGAAAGCGUGGGGAGCAAACAGG
rnacentral:rRNA from 1 species